rnacentral:rRNA from 1 species
UACGUAGGGACCGAGCGUUGUCCGGAAUCAUUGGGCGUAAAGAGCGUGUAGGCGGCCACUUAAGUCCUGCGUGAAAUCCUGCGGCUCAACCGCAGGCGGUCGUGGGAAACUGGAUGGCUAGAGUGCGGGAGAGGAGAGUGGAAUUCCUGGUGUAGCGGUGGAAUGCGCAGAUAUCAGGAAGAACACCCGUGGCGAAGGCGGCUCUCUGGAACGCAACUGACGCUGAGGUGCGAAAGCGUGGGGAGCAAACAGG